rnacentral:rRNA from 1 species
UUCCGGUUGAUCCUGCCGGGCCCGGACUGCUAUCAGAGUGAGAUUAAGCCAUGCUAGUUAACGUAGCAAUACGUGGCGCACGGCUCAGUAACACGUAGUCAACAUGCCCAGAGGACGUGGAUAACCUCGGGAAACUGAGUCUAAACCGCGAUAAGUGAGGAUUUCUGGAAUGGUUCCUGACUAAAAUCUAUAUGGCCUCUGGAUUGGACUGCGGCCGAUCAGGCUGUUGGUGAGGUAAUGGCCCACCAAACCUGUAACCGGUACGGGCUUUGAGAGAAGGAGCCCGGAGAUGGGCACUGAGACAAGGGCCCAGGCCCUAUGGGGCGCAGCAGGCGCGAAACCUCUGCAAUAGGCGAAAGCUUGACAGGGUUACUCUGAGUGAUGCCCGCUAAGGGCAUCUUUUGGCACCUCUAAAAAUGGUGCAGAAUAAGGGGUGGGCAAGUCUGGUGUCAGCCGCCGCGGUAAUACCAGCACCCCGAGUGGUCGGGACGAUUAUUGGGCCUAAAGCAUCCGUAGCUUGUUCUGCAAGUCCUCCGUUAAAUCCACCUGCUCAACAGAUGGGCUGCGGGGGAUACUACAGGGCUAGGAGGCGGGAGAGGCAAACGGUACUCAGUGGGUAGGGGUAAAAUCCUCUGAUCCACUGAAGACCACCAGUGGCGAAGGCGGUUUGCCAGAACGCGCUCGACGGUGAGGGAUGAAAGCUGGGGGAGCAAACCGGAUUAGAUACCCGGGUAGUCCCAGCUGUAAACGAUGCAGACUCGGUGAUGGGUUGGCUUUGAGCCAACCCAGUGCCGCAGGGAAGCCGUUAAGUCUGCCGAGUGGGGACUACGGUCGCAAGACUGAAACUUAAGGCCUUUAUGGGGGGAGCA